GGGAGUUCAGGUAAACAGUAAACGCAAGGUCAUAACGAGACUGAAUGUGAAGUCAAAUGUCCAACUUAAAUUAAACCAGCAUGGAAAGAGGAUCAUCGGCCUACUGAGUCAUUGCACACAAUCAAGCAGUUAAUCCUGAAGUAACAAUCGUUCUCUCUUCUCUCCACAUUCUCAUCUGCCUCCCCCACAUUCAAUCCCUCACUGAUUCACUAGGUGUAGUGCACAGCAGCCAACAAUUAGCCAACCAAACAGCACAUUUUUUGAAGGAAACGGGAGCAACCACAGGGAGAAAAAUCACACACUUCCCAUUGGAUCAGGAUCUGAAUCAGGUUUAUUAUCACCGGCAUGUGACGUGAAAUUUGUUAACUUAGCAGCAGCAGUUCAAUGCAAUACAUAAUCUAGCAGAGAAAAAAAAAUAAUAAAAUAAUAAAUAAACAAGUAAAUCAAUUACGUAUAUUGAAUAGAUUUAAAAAACAUGCAAAAACAGAAAUACUGUAUAUUUAAAAAAGUGAGGUGGUAUCCAAAGAUUCAAUGACCAUUUAGGAAUCGGAUGGCAGAGAGGAAGAAGCUGUUGCUGAAUCGCUGAGUGUGUGCCGUCAGGCUUUUGUAUCUCCUACCUGAUGGUAACAGUGAGAAAAGGGCAUGCCCUGGGUGCUGGAGGUCCUUAAUAAUGGACGCUGCCUUUCUGAGACACUGCUCCCCAAAGAUGUCCUGCGUACUUUGUAGGCUUGUACCCAAGAUGGAGCUGACUAGAUUUACAACCUUCUGCAGCUUCUUUUGGUCCUGUGCAGUAGCCCCUCAAUACUAAACAGUGAUGCAGCCUGUCAGAAUGCCCUCCACGGGACAAUUAUAGAAGUUUUUGAGUGUAUUUGUUGACUCCUAAUAAAGUAUAGCUGCUGCCUUGCCUUCUUUAUAACUACGUCGAUAUGUUGGGACCAGGUUAGAUCCUCAGAGGUCUUGACACCCAGGAGCUUGAAACAGCUCUCUCUCCACUUUUGAUCCCUCUGAGGAUUGGUAUGUGUUCCUUCCUCUUACCCUUCCUGAAGUCCACAAUCAGCUUUUGUCUUACUGAUGUUGAGUGCCAGGUUGUUGCUGCGACACCACUCCACUAGUUGGCAUAUCUCACUCCUGUACACCCUCUCAUCACCACCCGAGAUUCUACCAACAAUGGUUGUAUCAUCAGCUAAUUUAUAGAUGGUAUUUGAGCUAUGCCUAGCCACACAGUCAUGCGUAUAUAGAGAGUAGAGCAGUGGGCUAAGCGCACACCCUGAGGUGCGCCAGUGUCGUUCCGUCAGUAAGGAGGAUAUGUUAUCACCAAUCCGCACAGAUUGUGAUCUUCCGAUUAGAAAGUCGAGGAUCCAAUUGCAGAGAGAGGUACAGAAGCCCAGGUUUGUAAUCCAGGGAGAGGGAAACGUAGAAUCAAAUAUCGCUAUGAUGAUUUACGUUCUAGCAUCAAUUGUUUGGCGACAAUAAAGUAUAAAGUUCUACAGCUUUUCAAUCAGGAUUGUGGAAAUGAAGGCAUUAAAUGCUGAGCUAUAGUCGAUGAACAGCAACCUGACGUAGGUGUUUGUGUUGUCUAGGUGGUCUAAAGCCAUCUGGAGAUCCAUUGAGAUUGCAUCUGUCAUUGACCUAUUGCGGCGAUAGGCAAACUACAAUGGGUAGAGGUCCUUGGUGGGUCAGGAGUUCAGUCUAGUCAUGACCAACCUCUCAAAGCAUUUCAUCACUAAAGAUGUGAGUGCUACCGGGCGAUAGUCAUUAAGGCAGCCCACAUUAUUCUUCUUAAGACACUGGUAUAAUUGUUGUCUUUUUGAAGCAAGUGGGAACUUCCGCCCGUAGCAGUGAGAGGUUGAAAAUGACCUCGAAUACUCCCGCUAGUUGGUUGGCACAGGUUUUCAGAGCCUUACCAUGUAUUCCAUCGGGACCUUCUGCCUUGCGAGGGUUCACUCUCUUUAAAGACAGCCUAACAUGGGCCUCUGAGAUGGAGAGCACAGGGUCAUCAGGUGCAGCAGGGAUCUUCACAGCUGUAGUUGUGUUCUCCCUUUCAAAACGUGCAUAGAAGGUGUUGAGUUCACCUGGUAGUGAAACAUCGCUUUGUAGAAAGUGUUGUCUUGCAGACCCUGUCAAAGUUGCCGUGCAUCCGAUGUUGCCCCCAACCUCCUUCGAAAUUGUCCCUUUGCCCUUGACUAGCCCUCCACAAAUCUUACCCGGUUUUCUGGUACAGGCCUGGGUCGCCAGACUUGAAUGCCACAGAUCUAGCCUUCAGCCGAUGACAUACCUCCUGGUUCAUCCACGGCUUUUGGUUUGGGAAUGUACAAUAAGUCUUUGUGGGCACACACUCAUCCACACAGGGUUUAAUGAAGUCGGUAACAACUGCAGCAUACUCAUCCAGGUUCGAAGAUGAAUCCCUGAAUACAGUCCAGUCCACCAAUUUAAAGCAGUCCUGUAGGUGCUCCUGUGUUUCCCUUGUCCAUACCUUCUUGGUGGUGCAGUUUUCAGUCUCUGCCUAUACUCGGAGUAGAAGUAGAGCCAGGUGAUCAGACUUCCCGAAGUGAGGGCGUGGAAUAGCACAGUAGGCAUUCUUGAUGGUGGUGUAGCAAUGGUCCAGUGUGUUGUUUCCUCUGGUAUUGCAAGUGAUCUAUUGAUGGUAAUUGCUUAGUGAUUUUUUUCAGACUGGACUUGUUAAAAUCUCCCAAAACAAUGGUGAAGGCGUUAGGGUGCGCUGUUUCGGGCAUGUUGAUCCCAUUACUCAGAUCGUCUAAAGCCAGCUUGACAUUGGCUUGAGGUGGAAUGAAAACUGCUACCAGGACGACCCCAGAUAACUCGUGUGGUUGGCAAAAAGAAUGGCACUUUACUGCUAGAUAUUCCAAGUCUAGUGAGCAGAAUUGGGACAGCACUGAUGUAUUUGUUGUUACAUACCUCAUGGGUAUCUUGUGACUGUCUUAUGACCAUGAAAUAAUUGAGUAUCUGAAGAGCAUGAUGUAAUGGUCUUGUGGAGGUCACAUGAUGUAAUUUUCCUGUCGAUGUAAGGUCACAUGAUGACAUGUUCUCACCAGAUAUUUAAGGGGACACCCCUGGUGUGACGCGGUUAGUUUUUCCAGUUGACUUUUAAGUUUAGUUCGUUAUUUAAUUCGUCAGAUACUCCGUUACGCUGCAUAUUCAUCUUAUGACGCAGUUUUCUUUUAAAGUGAAGUUCUACUUUCUAUUUUAAGUAGUAUUGGAGGGUGAAGACCUUACUAAAGGACAGGAACUCGCAGAGUCGAGUAAAGCUGAUGUCGUUCGGUGGUUUUGGAGAGCAUCGACCUUUAUUGAAUCUUCGUUCACGAAAUAGUGACCUGCAUUUUGAAAUAUCCUCUGCUAAAGCAGGAAGGAUUGUGCAGUGUCUAUUCUCCAGAGGAAAAGCUACCAUCGCGCAGGAGGUCCUGAAGCCUUAAGUCCUACACCACCAGGUUCAAGUGCAGCUACUUUUCUACAACCAUUCAAUUCUUGAACCAACCUGCAAAACCUAAUCAUAGUCUCAGUACAGCCACUUUGAACACUUUGCACUAAAAAUACUAUUUUUAAAAAGACCUAAUUGUGAUCCUUCUUAUAAAGAUGAUGUAUAUUUUAUAAUA